rnacentral:rRNA from 1 species
AGCGCCAGGGAAUUACGAGCAAUGCUUAAAACCCAAAGGAUUUGACGGUAUCCCAUCCACCUAGAGGAGCCUGUUCUAUAAUCGAUAACCCCCGCUAUACCCAACCACUCCUAGCCUAUCAGCCUGUAUACCUCCGUCGAAAGCCUACCAUGUGAAUGUUCUUAGUAAGCUUAAUGUCCCCGUCAAAACGUCGGGUCAAGGUGCAGCUCAUGGAGUGGAAAGAAAUGGGCUACAAUUUCUAAUCUAGAACACACGAAAAACUAGGUGAAACCCUAGUCAUGAAGGCGGAUUUAGCAGUAAAAAGAAAAUAGAGUGUUCUUUUUAACCUGGCCCUGGAAUGUGUACACACCGCCCGUCACCCUCUUCGACUGUAUUUAACACUGUUUUAUAACUUUCCCCCCCACAUUCUAGAAGAGGCAAGUCGUAACAUGGUAAGUGUACUGGAAAGUGCACUUGGUUAACAA